GGCGUGCUUAACACAUGCAAGUCGAACGGAAAGGCCCUGCUUUUGUGGGGUGCUCGAGUGGCGAACGGGUGAGUAACACGUGAGUAACCUGCCCUUGACUUUGGGAUAACUUCAGGAAACUGGGGCUAAUACCGGAUAGGAGCUCCUGCUGCAUGGUGGGGGUUGGAAAGUUUCGGCGGUUGGGGAUGGACUCGCGGCUUAUCAGCUUGUUGGUGGGGUAGUGGCUUACCAAGGCUUUGACGGGUAGCCGGCCUGAGAGGGUGACCGGCCACAUUGGGACUGAGAUACGGCCCAGACUCCUACGGGAGGCAGCAGUGGGGAAUAUUGCACAAUGGGCGGAAGCCUGAUGCAGCAACGCCGCGUGCGGGAUGACGGCCUUCGGGUUGUAAACCGCUUUCGCCUGUGACGAAGCGUGAGUGACGGUAAUGGGUAAAGAAGCACCGGCUAACUACGUGCCAGCAGCCGCGGUGAUACGUAGGGUGCGAGCGUUGUCCGGAUUUAUUGGGCGUAAAGGGCUCGUAGGUGGUUGAUCGCGUCGGAAGUGUCAUCUUGGGGCUUAACCCUGAGCGUGCUUUCGAUACGGGUUGACUUGAGGAAGGUAGGGGAGAAUGGAAUUCCUGGUGGAGCGGUGGAAUGCGCAGAUAUCAGGAGGAACACCAGUGGCGAAGGCGGUUCUCUGGGCCUUUCCUGACGCUGAGGAGCGAAAGCGUGGGGAGCGAACAGGCUUAGAUACCCUGGUAGUCCACGCUGUAAACGGUGGGUACUAGGUGUGGGGUCCAUUCCACGGGUUCCGUGCCGUAGCUAACGCUUUAAGUACCCCGCCUGGGGAGUACGGCCGCAAGGCUAAAACUCAAAGGAAUUGACGGGGCCCCGCACAAGCGGCGGAGCAUGCGGAUUAAUUCGAUGCAACGCGUAGAACCUUACCUGGGUUUGACAUGGAUCGGGAGUGCUCAGAGAUGGGUGUGCCUCUUUUGGGGUCGGUUCACAGGUGGUGCAUGGCUGUCGUCAGCUCGUGUCGUGAGAUGUUGGGUUAAGUCCCGCAACGAGCGCAACCCUUGUUCACUGUUGCCAGCACGUUAUGGUGGGGACUCAGUGGAGACCGCCGGGGUCAACUCGGAGGAAGGUGGGGAUGACGUCAAGUCAUCAUGCCCCUUAUGUCCAGGGCUUCACGCAUGCUACAAUGGCUGGUACAGAGAGUGGCGAGCCUGUGAGGGUGAGCGAAUCUCGGAAAGCCGGUCUCAGUUCGGAUUGGGGUCUGCAACUCGACCUCAUGAAGUCGGAGUCGCUAGUAAUCGCAGAUCAGCAACGCUGCGGUGAAUACGUUCCCGGGGCUUGUACACACCGCCCGUCAAGUCAUGAAAGUUGGUAACACCCGAAGCCGGUGGCCUAACCGUUGUGGGGGAGCCGUCGAAGGUGGGACUGGUGAUUAGGACUAAG
rnacentral:rRNA from 1 species